UGUUAUGGAUGAGGAAUAAAAGUAGUUUCUUAAAAUAGAGUCUACUUUUUGAAAAAAUGCUGUGAA
rnacentral:pre_miRNA from 1 species